UACGUAGGGUGCAAGCGUUGUCCGGAAUUAUUGGGCGUAAAGAGCUCGUAGGCGGUUCGUCGCGUCGGCUGUGAAAAACCUGAGGCUCAACCUCAGGCCUGCAGUGGGUACGGGGCAGACUAGAGUGCGGUAGGGGAGACUGGAAUUCCUGGUGUAGCGGUGAAAUGCGCAGAUAUCAGGAGGAACACCGGUGGCGAAGGCGGGUCUCUGGGCUGUAACUGACGCUGAGGAGCGAAAGCGUGGGGGAGCGAACAGG
rnacentral:rRNA from 1 species